UUCAACAUCUAAUUGGAAUUUCUCUGGAAAGUUUACAAUGCCCGAUAUUUCUACACAUCUGCCACAAAUUUAUGGAAAUCAAUAUUUAUAGAAACUGAACAUACCUUGGUUAAACGUAUAUGAAAUGGGUAACCAUCCUCGAAGAACAUCAACCAGCUGUCGGCAAUGUGCAGGUGGACUGAGGAAUUUUCCGGUGUGUCUUUUUAUGGACUGUACUCCGUCUUAGCACAAUUCCCAAGUUUUACCCGAGAGGCCACGCUUCAGGUUGGACCGUCUUCCAUAUAUCUACUGACUUCAUAUAAAUGAAAGUGUACUGAGGACUCACUAAUCUGCACUACCAGUAACAAAGUAAUCCGACAAUCAGACUGGACCCGGUCAUGUUAGAAUCCAGAGGUAGGAGAUGAACAUACAAUUGAUUCUGCAUCGAUGCAUGACUUCGC